AUGCUUUUGGUGAGGUGCCUUCCGAGUUCCCUGGAACGGGACGCCAUAGAGGGUGAGAGCCCCGUACGGUUGGAUACCAAACCUCUGUAUAGCUCCUUCAACGAGUCGAGUAGUUUGGGAAUGCUGCUCUAAAUGGGAGGUAUAUCUCUUCUAAAGCUAAAUAUAGGCUAGAGACCGAUAGCGCACAAGUAGAGUGAUCGAAAGAUGAAAAGCACUUUGAAAAGAGAGUUAAACAGCACGUGAAAUUGUUGAAAGGGAAGCGCCUAUGACCAGACUUGUUUCUGGCAGUUUCGUUAGCCUUCGGGCUGAUUUACUCUGUCCAGUACAGGCCAGCAUCAGUUUGCUGUCGGGGAGAAAGGCUCUGGGAACGUAGCUCCCCCCUUCUGGGGGGAGUGUUAUAGCCCUCUGCAUAAUACCCUUCGGCAGACUGAGGACCGCGCUUCGGCAAGGAUGCUGGCGUAAUGGUCAUCAGCGACCCGUCUUGAAACACGGACCAAGGAGUCAACCUUAUGUGCGAGUGUUUGGGUGUAAAACCCCAGCGCGUAAUGAAAGUGAACGUAGGUGAGAGCUUCGGCGCAUCAUCGACCGAUUCUGAUGUUUUCGGAUGGAUUUGAGUAAGAGCACACAGGGUUGGACCCGAAAGAAGGUGAACUAUGCUUGUAUAGGGUGAAGCCAGAGGAAACUCUGGUGGAGGCUCGCAGCGGUUCUGACGUGCAAAUCGAUCGUCAAAUAUGAGCAUGGGGGCGAAAGACUAAUCGAACCUUCUAGUAGCUGGUUCCAGCCGAAGUUUCCCUCAGGAUAGCAGUGUUGAAUUUUCUUCAGUUUUAUGAGGUAAAGCGAAUGAUUAGGGACUCGGGGGCGCUAUAUUGCCUUCAUCCAUUCUCAAACUUUAAAUA
rnacentral:rRNA from 1 species